rnacentral:misc_RNA from 1 species
GUAGGUGAACCUGCAGAAGGAUCAUUACCGAACUGUCGACACGAGCUGUUGCUGGCCCUCGAAAGGGGGCACGUGCACGCUCUGUUUACACAUCCACUCACACCUGUGCACCCUCUGUAGUUCUAUGGCCUUGGGGACCCCGUCCCCUUGCUGUGGUCCUACGUCUUUACACACACGCCGUAACAAAGUCUCAUGGAAUGUAUGUCGCGUCUAACGCAAUACAAUACAACUUUCAGCAACGGAUCUCUUGGCUCUC